AGUUCAUCCUCCCACUAUUUUCAAGAAAACAGUAUGAUUACUCACAAUCACAUUGUGAACCACUAGAAAGAGAAAGUGACAUCCCAAACCCUUUUAAGAUACCCCAUAAAUGAGCUCUUAGAGAUCUAUCUUCUAACCUGUUCAUCAUAUCAUAUCUCAUAUGAUGUGGUGAAACCAACUUUAGAGAGAAUCUAAUUUAAAUUCAGAAAUUAAACCUUGUUCCUAAAGAAACAAUAGUUAAAUUAGUGAUGUUCAUCAUGAAUCGGACCAUAUCUCAUAUAGUUUCAUUGCUCCUCAC
rnacentral:lncRNA from 1 species